UUACCGUUAAUGCUCGAGGGAACUUGGGAACAGUGACGCUUGGGAUACUGUAUGUAUCUUUUGCUGUUUUCUCAUUGUUCGCAUCAUUGGUGGUUCGUGUAAUGGGGUCUAAGAAUUCUCUGGUUCUUGGAACUACUGGUUAUUUGUUGUUCAUAGCUGCAAAUUUGAAGCCUACACGGUAUACUAUGGUACCGGUUUCCUUGUACCUCGGUUUUGCAGCUUCGAUAAUAUGGGUUGGGGAGCAAUAUUGAUUCAUCAGGGGACGUAUCUUACUUCUUUAGCAUGUGGUCAUGCUAGAGAUUCCAACUUACAUGAAGGAACUGUGAUUGGUAACUUCAAUGGAGAAUUUUGGGCAAUGUUUGCUCUUCACCAGGUGGCCACUAGUCAGGAUAACUAUUUUCUUUAUCUUUAGCUUGCUACUACAAGAUUGUAAAUAUUGAUCUUUUACCCAAAUUUAUUUUUCUUCAAAUGCAGUUCGUUGGAAAUCUUA